rnacentral:lncRNA from 1 species
UGACCAGGUCCCUUAGUACUAGUAUCUGUGACAGUCAGCAUUUUCUUCCCUUUCUUCUCAAACAGACUAGACACAUCUUUUCAUAUUAUACCAAUCCAAGAAUAGUUGAGCCUCACUUUAACAGCAGGACUUCUUUUUCAAGAACUCUGUGUAAAAUAUAUUUCUGUAAAAUGAAUUGUAUUUUAUGCGUUCAGGGAGUUUUCUGUUUAAACCCUCUGAUUCUUAGUGUCCACUUCUGUUAUGACUUAGAAUCCAUGCCUGGCUGGUAUAACUUGGGGUCUUCACAUUUUUAACAUGUCACUGUUCAGUGGUCUCCCAAGAAGUGUGCAGGGUGAUCUGUAGGGGUGCACGGGAGUCCUCCAGAGGCGCUUCUUAAUGCUCUGUCUCUAAUUGAUAACAUACUAUCUGCCUGUGUAAUGUUGUUCUGAAGUGUGAGAUGUGAAGCUUUGGUUUCAUGUUUUCUCUGUAAAUCUAUAAGCCUGAAAUUAUAUCCAUCAAGUUUUUUUUUUUUAAACAAAAAUCUCUAGAAGGGCAGUUGAUCAUAACUGGAUUCUGCUGAAAUCACUCACAGAAUCUAUCAUUUUAUCAGCAGAAGCUUUGAGUAAGUUCUCUCCCCUCCCCAAGCCCAGCUUCCAUCACUGACUGAAGCCCCAACCAGAAAACCACUGCCAUGACUCAGGCCACCUACCACGAUUUCAGUUCCAUGAGAAAGCACUUUUUUAUGUGAAGUCAAACAUGAUUUUAAAACAAUAAGCCUCUUGGAUUAAAAGCAUAUUUUUCCAACCACCCAGCUGAAACUCUGUCCUCAGCUUUUGUCACCAUAGCCAGGUUAAAACUAAACAGGGAUGAUGGGCUCAGGAAAAUUGCCAGGCUCUUUUCUACCCUCUUUCCUCUUUCUGGCGACACUCUUUGCCCUCCACCCCUCAGGGAAUGAGCUGAUAAAAAAGGUAAGUCACGCUCACCAAUCCUGCUCAGGUGUGCACAGUAGCUAUCCCCACAAAUGACUGCCAGCCAGGUGUGCGCCUGGUGCUGAGUGAGUGACACUGUUACCACCCUACAUCAUUUCCAGCAGCCUGCUAGGAGGGUGCUUCACUUCGAAGGAAGCAGAGCCUUCAUUUUCUCCAAGCACUGCCAUUCGUCAUUGCUGCAUAAUUUCCACAAAUUACCCCAUCUCAUCCUCAGUGCCGUGGGAUGGGCAUAAUUGUUAACUCCAAUUUCAUAGGUGAGGAGACUAAGGCUUAGAAUUGACUUCUCUGCCCCUUGCCCUCAAGUUGUAGAAAUGCAGACAGCUUUAUUAAAGAAAUGUCAGGCUAGGGGCUGAAUUGGAGCCGUAGCUGCCUGCCUACUCCACAGCCCCAGCAACUCGGGAUCCAAGCCUCGUCUUGGACCUACACCACAGCUCACAACAACACCGGAUCCUUAACCCACUGAGCAAAGCCAGAGAUCGAACCUGCAUCCUCAUUGAUGCUAGUCAGAUUCAUUUCCACUGAGCCAUGAUGGGAACUCCCUGUUGUUUAUUCUAAAAACAAAAGGCUUCAGAAAGAAAUAAUUUCAUGGUGUGAGACUGUCAUAGUAAUGUCACUUUCUUGGUGCUCUGGGGAACACAGGUCACUAGUCACUGAUUUCUGUUCUAUUCUGAGUUAGAGCACUUUCAUCUAUGACUUUCUUUAAGGAUGUUUUUUUCAAGGGCAGCAGGACCAUUAGGUGAUGUUUUCACAUUCAAUAGUUUCUCUCUUAAGAAAAACCACAUCUUUCAGUUUGACUAUAGAAUUCAGAAAUUUGAUACCAUCUUUACUUAAUUUAUGGAUAAUUUCUCUACCAGAGUCACGGAUGAUAUUUUAUAAAAUAAAAUCUAUGGAAAAUCCCUCAUUUGUUCUGGGUUGGGUUCUUUUCCCCUUGAUUUGACAGAGGCAACUAAGCUUCUUUCUGUUUUGUUAUAUGUAAGCAUGAAUUUUCAGCAGAGCAGGAAGCUAAUUUUAGUAUUUAUAAUGACUUUCACUACAAUUGGGUUGAUUAGCAGCACAAAAAAUAAAUAUUUAAGUCAGCCUUCCCUCCAGGAUUCCACAUACAGAUUCUUUAGUCUCUGUGGCUCCUCCAGCAGAAACAUUUUGUUUCUUCAGCUUGGGGUUUUGCAGGAUUAGACUCAUCAUAGCAUUGUAUCAGAAAAUAAAUCCACGGAGUUUUAUAAAGACAAUUUUGACUUACAAUUUAUUAUCUCCUUCCUGCCUCUCAAAGCCUUGCAGAGACUGUGGGCCUGCUUCUUCCAGAAGAGUUUGUCAGCUGUUAAAAUUAAUUACCAACCUCUGUGCCCUGAAACAAAUAUACACAUGACACAAAACACACAAGAAAGUAGGCAAUGGAUGGCCAAUAAACUAGAUGUGUUGUCUUGCCACUUUAACUGCUUUUUUAGACUUUCUAAGAAAUUUAUAUGGGGGCAGGAGCAGGGAGAUAUAAAGGAUAUUUGCUUUAAACAGAACCUAGUAUUUCUUAUAAUUUCAGGGGAAGUCUGUUAAGAAAACAGAAGUUAGUCGAUAUCAACUAUGUGAGUCAACUUUUUUUUUUUUUUUUUGUAGUUUGUUGAUUAGGAAUUGUAGUAGGAUGCUGUCAGUACAUGGCUGUUUUUUCUACAAGUCUUCUAAGUACCAUAAGUUAAAUUGUAUUUCCUAAAACACAAGUGCUGUAACAGACCUGAUCCCUGCUGGCCUCCAAGGCAGCGGUUCUGUAGAAUAGUCUCUGGAAAGGAUCACAGAUCAGUUCUUUACACCUCCGAGAGGAUGCACAAGAAAAUAGUCACUUUGGUCACCUGUGGAGUGGUGGCUGGGAGAGGGUGGGAAGAAGCUUCCCCCCAUAGCCUGCUGCACCCUUUGAAUUAUGUAUUCCUUAUUCAGUAGACAUUUUAGAAGCGGUUCUGCUUAUUUGCUUAAUGAAAACAAUGAUGGCUCAAAAGCUCUAUUGUUUUAAAGGGAAACAAGUCAAUCUUGAAGGCAAACUAGAAAAAAAGUGUAGAUACCUAAAGUUUGUACAUCUCUACUCAGUUACCAAAGGCCUCCUGUUGCUACAUCUGGGGCAAAGACAGACAAAAUCACCCCAUUUACUGAAAAUCUGCAGCUUUAUGCUAAAUUCCCUCAUUCUCUGGGAGGUUACUCUCAAAACCCCUAAGCAGGAACACUUUUUUUUUUUUUUUUAAUCAGAACACUGUCUUAUUAGGGCUACUACCAAUAAUAAGAGCUACCACCUCACAGCCAUUGGGAGCUUGGUCUGGGGACAUGGCAUCAGACCCAGAUUUGGAGCAGUCAGGCAGAAAGGGCCAGAGGACCAGGAGGGGAUUGGGGACCUGGGGGCUCUCCCAGCUACUGGUGAGAUGGGAGACCUCAGAACUAGAAUCUGUAGGAAAAAGGAGGGGUCAGGCUGGGAGGGGCUGAAAGGCAUCCGUUCAUCCACACCCAAAAACGCCAUUCUGAGGUUGAACUUGGCACACCAUCCAAGUGUCAAGGAGGUCUGGCACAGACUAACUGGAAACCAAGCCCAGAACAGUGGGACUGAAGGAUGUGGGAUCUGGGAGGCAGGCAGGCAGAGCCAGUCUGGCCUGCACGCUCGAGGGACAAGUCCCCAGGGGAUGAGCAAAAGGUGGCAUGCCAGGGUGUCCAAGAUCUGGAUUUCCUAAUAGUUAUAAACUUGGGGACUGCAGUGCAGAGAGAAAACUGUGGGGUUCCUGGACGUGGUGCUCAGGAUCAGAGUGAGAGCAGCACAGAAUGAGCUUUAUAAUUGUGUGAAGUCCAGGGAGCCGUCAAUCCUUGAAUAAGAGGAUUCAUCCUGGAGCUGCAACUCUGCAUGUGGAGGAAAUGAAGCAGAGAGCUUCUUGGAAGCAGAGAGCCAGGAGAAGAGAAAAAAAAAACAAAAACAAAAGCAAGGCACAUCUUGCCUUCUCCUAAAGGUGCAGGCAUCCUAAAGAGAGUUUUCCAGAUUCUUUUUAUUUACCCCCAAACCACAUUUCCUUAACCAUAUCUAUGUGUGUAUAUUGCCUUUUAAGUUGUAUAUUUAUUGCCCUUUUGAGGGUUUGAAGUUGUCCUGCAAAGUGUAUGAACUCAAGCACAAAGUAGGGUUUAGCUUCAGCUGUACCUUAGAUUAAUACCAUAAUUUUCUGCCUUGCCACAGCAAAUAUUCCCAGUAGCAGAAUUGCUGACGCAGCUUAAAAGAUCUAGAAUCCUACAGGUCUGUCAAGCAGACAUGUCAGUUUGGAGGUGAUAAAAAUGUCUGAGAGUAGACAGCAAUGGUAGUUGCAAUACAAAAAAACCACUGAAUUGUGCCCUUUGAAAGGGUGAAUUUAAUGGUAGCUGAAUUAGAUCUCAAUUUUUUAAAAAAGAAGGCACGUCCAGGUGUAAAGUCACAGUUUAGGAAACAGAUUCUAAGGAAUAAUCUGGGACUUCCCAUUGUGGCUCAGUGGGUUAGGAAAACCAACUAGUAUCCAUGAGGAUGUGGGUUUGAUCCCUGGCCUUGCUCAGUGGGUUAAGGAUCUGGCAUUACAGUGAGCUGUGGUAUAGGUCGCAGGCGGCUUGGAUCCUGGUUGCUGUGGCUAUGGCGUGGACUGGCAGCUGUAUGAUUCAACCCCUAGCCUGGGAACUUCCAUAUGCCACAGGUGUGGCCCUAAAAAAGGAAUAAUCUCGAGUUCCUGUCGUGGCUCAGUGGUUAACGAAUCCGACUAGAAACCAUGAGGUUUCGGGUUCGAUUCCUGGCCUAGCUCAGUGGGUUAAGGAUCCGGUGUUGCCGUGAGCUGUGGUGUAGGUCACAGACGCAGCUCGGAUCCCGUGUUGCUGUGGCUCUGGCGUAGGCCAGUGGCUACAGCUCCGAUUCGACCCCUAGCCUGGGAACCUCCAUAUGCUGUGAGAGUGGCCCCAAAAAUGGCAAAAAAAAAAAAAAAAAAAAAAAAA